AACGUACGCUGGCGGCACGCCUAACACAUGCAAGUCGAACGAAGUAGCAAUACUUAGUGGCAGACGGGUGAGUAACAUGUAGGUAUCUGCCCUUUGGCCUGGAAUAACACGAGGAAACUUGUGCUAAUACCGGAUAAGUCUUUACGGAGAAAGCUUUAUGCACCAUUGGAUGAGCCUGCACUUGAUUAGUUUGUUGGUGGGGUAAUGGCCUACCAAGACUGUGAUCAAUAGCUGAUUUGAGAGGAUGAUCAGCCACAUUGGGACUGAGACACGGCCCAAACUCCUACGGGAGGCAGCAGUGGGGAAUCUUGCACAAUGGAGGAAACUCUGAUGCAGCGAUGCCGCGUGAGUGAAGAAGGCCCUUGGGUUGUAAAGCUCUUUCGUCGGGGAAGAAAAUGACUGUACCCGAAUAAGAAGGUCCGGCUAACUUCGUGCCAGCAGCCGCGGUAAUACGAAGGGACCUAGCGUAGUUCGGAAUUACUGGGCUUAAAGAGUUCGUAGGUGGUUGAAAAAGUUAGUGGUGAAAUCCCAGAGCUUAACUCUGGAACUGCCAUUAAAACUUUUCAGCUAGAGUAUGAUAGAGGAAAGCAGAAUUUCUAGUGUAGAGGUGAAAUUCGUAGAUAUUAGAAAGAAUACCAAUUGCGAAGGCAGCUUUCUGGAUCAUUACUGACACUGAGGAACGAAAGCAUGGGUAGCGAAGAGGAUUAGAUACCCUCGUAGUCCAUGCCGUAAACGAUGUGUGUUAGACGUUGGAAAUUUAUUUUCAGUGUCGCAGGGAAACCGAUAAACACACCGCCUGGGGAGUACGACCGCAAGGUUAAAACUCAAAUGAAUUGACGGGGACCCGCACAAGUAGUGGAGCAUGUGGUUUAAUUCGAAGAUACGCGCAGAACCUUACCAACACUUGACAUGUUCGUCGCGACUCUAAGAGAUUAGAGUUUUCGGUUCGGCCGGACGAAACACAGGUGCUGCAUGGCUGUCGUCAGCUCGUGUCGUGAGAUGUUGGGUUAAGUCCCGCAACGAGCGCAACCCUCACUUUUAGUUGCCAUCAUUAAGUUGGGCACUCUGAAAGAACUGCCAGUGAUAAGCUGGAGGAAGGUGGGGAUGACGUCAAGUCCUCAUGGCCCUUACGUGUUGGGCUACACACGUGCUACAAUGGUAUUUACAACAGGAAGCAAGACUGCGAAGUUAAGCAAAUCCCUAAAAGAUACCUCAGUUCGGAUUGCACUCUGCAACUCGAGUGCAUGAAGCUGGAAUUACUAGUAAUCGUGGAUCAGCGUGCCACGGUGAAUGCGUUCCCGGGUCU
rnacentral:rRNA from 1 species